GACAGAGGUGGCAAGCGUUGUUCGGAAUCACUGGGCUUAAAGGGCACGUAGGCGGCCCGGCAAGUCGGAUGUGAAAUCCCCUGGCUUAACCAGGGAACUGCAUCCGAAACUACCGGGCUCGAGCGCAGGAGGGGAGAGCGGAACUCCUAGUGGAGCGGUGAAAUGCGUAGAUAUUAGGAGGAACGCCGGUGGCGAAAGCGGCUCUCUGGCCUGCAGCUGACGCUGAGGUGCGAAAGCUAGGGGAGCAAACAGG
rnacentral:rRNA from 1 species